UGUGGUGGACGUUGCAGUCGUCUUGUUAAAAAAAAAAAGGAAGUGAAGAAGUGAAAAAUGAUUAAGAGGGUCACGCCCUCUACCCCUCCAACCUCUCUAAUCAGUUUCUUUCCGUUCUGUCUUUUGUACAUGCACCUGCUCAGGUGGGACCUCAUGGAAAAAUUACAUUGUGGGUCUACAUAACCUGAAUUACGAAUUUAAAAAUGUUUUACCUGAAUUGGAUGAAUAAUAAUAUGAUAACCAGCCACAUGGGGAAAAUGAGUAAAGAAUCAUGGAUACCUGAGCUUGACAAGAUAAUCAGGAAUACAACCAAUAAUGUGUUUGAGAUGGCUCUCAUUGAUUGGAGAGAAGUGAUUAUGCGAAUCUCUUCUGAAAUCUGCAUUAAGUGAUGUCCCAUUGGUUGCUUGAAGCCAGCGCUGGUGAGAUUAAUUUCACCACGGAAAUCAGCAAGUGAUAAAAUGUAUCAUUUACUAGCACACCAUUGGAAACAAGAGUUGUGAGAUUUUAAGUUAGCCAAAGGAAGUAGUUUCUAUCAUUUAGAACUAUCCAACAGUGCAAUGGUCUAUCUCACAAAGGGUUUUAGUUCUGUAUUAAAGAUUCACUUGUUGAGCCUAUCCAUAUACUGUAAAACUUUUUAUUAAUAUAUGUAGCAUUGCUGGGUCAUGGAAUAUGUUGCUGCUUUAAAA